rnacentral:misc_RNA from 1 species
CGUACGGUCUCUUCGUUUGCGUCCGGAAUCUCAAAACAAGAGGGACACAAACGGUUUCCCAGAGUUUUUACCGCAACCCGCAGAGACUUGAUUGGAAAUUGCAAGUUUCAACUCAACCCAGUUUAAUCCAACGGUCGAAUUUAAUACCGAGAAGGGCAAAAUACGCAGAGCCCGUAACCCGCCCGCCCGCCCUCGCCCCUCACGGUUCUCCAGGUAUCGGCGGCCUACCUACCUACCUACCUAAUCCAGCCGGUUCGGCAGACGUUUGCGGACGACAGGAAAAUACGAAACGGUUGAAUAAUGGUUUCGAGGAACGGGGUACUCAAUGGACUGCAGACUUCGCUGGUGUCGCGGACAAAGAGACGUGAAAAAAUAAAUAAA